rnacentral:rRNA from 1 species
AUAAGACGAGAAGACCCUAUGGAGCUUUAGACACCAGGCAGAUCACGUCAAGUAACCUUAAAUUAACAGGUAAAAACACAGUGACCCCUAGCCCCUAUGUCUUUGGUUGGGGCGACCGCGG